UUGGAAGUCUUUGAGGUCACAAUGGCCAGCAGCAUCAACAUGCAGUCACAGGAGACAUUUCACUGAGGGAGACAAAAGUUUCACUGAAGGAGACACAGUUUCUCCUUCCAAUUUUGCUGAGGCAGAAGAAGCAAAAGCAUGUGGACACAGACUACUGUUCACUGUAGAAAUCAACAAUAGAGGAAUAUUUUGCUGAAAUGGCAGUCAAGAAAGGAGUAGAGAAUGAGACUCCUGAUAAAAACAUGCUUCUUCAGACUUUGGUACUGUAUAGACAACCAGUUUUCUUGAAUUCUCUUGAUAGUGAUGAUCAUGAUGAGGAAGAAGAUGAGGAGAAAGAGGUGAUGGUGAAGAAGUCAGCUGAAAUUCAGGAUAGGCUUCUUUUCAGGUGAAAACAGAAAUUCUGAGGUGGAAUGAGUUAAAAUGAAAGCAUCGUUGAAAAAGAGAAAGUGACAGGAAUACAGACCUUUAGAGAGAGAGGAAAAAAGGAAGAGAAAAAGAAUUGGCUGCUUAAUGUUUUUUCUUCUUUUGAUGCUCCAUUUUUGGGUCUCACUGAUCACGUCUACAAAGGCUGAGUGAAAUGAAUGGAUCUUGUGCUAGGAAUGUCACUUGCCGAAUUGAACCAGGCAUUGUUAGCAUUUGAAAAGAACUGAAACAUGCAGGCAUGCCUAGCUGAAUUUAUGAGGAAAGCUUGUUUGUUUUUUAUACACUGGAGAAACUGUCUAAAAAUAGUUCAUCUUUGUGAAAACAUUUCUCCUGGAACGUUACCAAGGGCAACAAGGACUUGAAUUAUCAGCCUUGUUAAUGUUCACAUAAAUCCAGCCUGUCAAGCAUUAACUUGUUCAGCUCAGAUUUUAUAAAAGGCCUUCCUUUUUCUGCACUUUUUUGGAAAUUCCCCUCCUCCUGGCUGUUGUGUUUCAGAAGUAGGAUUGCUCUUCUAGCAUUCAGGCACCAUCCUGUGAACUGAAUAUUGGGCCUGCGUGUCUUCAGUAAAGGAAUCACAGUUGCCUAUUUUCUU